rnacentral:rRNA from 1 species
UGGGGGAUAUUGCACAAUGGGCGAAAGCCUGAUGCAGCGACGCCGCGUGGGGGAUGAAGGCCUUCGGGUUGUAAACUUCUUUUGCUCUGAACAAGGCGCACCAUGGGGUGUGUUGAGUGUAGGGGUUGAUUAGCGCCGGCUAACUACGUGCCAGCAGCCGCGGUAAUACGUAGGGCGCGAGCGUUGUCCGGAAUUAUUGGGCGUAAAGGGCUUGUAGGUGGCUGGUUGCGUCUGUCGUGAAAGCUCAUGGCUUAACUGUGGGUUUGCGGUGGGUACGGGCUGGCUUGAGUGCAGUAGGGGAGGCUGGAAUUCCGGGUGUAGCGGUGGAAUGCGCAGAUAUCAGGAGGAAUACCGGUGGAGAAGGCGGGGCUCUGGGCUGUUACUGACACUGAGGAGCGAAAGCAUGGGGAGCGAACAGG